rnacentral:miRNA from 1 species
UCUCAAGCCCAAAUUCGAUC